UACGUAGGGGGCAAGCGUUGUCCGGAAUUAUUGGGCGUAAAGAGCGUGUAGGCGGUCCGGUAAGUCAGCUGUGAAAGUCAAGGGCUCAACCCUUGAAUGCCGGUUGAUACUGUCGGGCUAGAGUCCGGAAGAGGCGAGUGGAAUCCCCGGUGUAGCGGUGAAAUGCGCAGAUAUCGGGAGGAACACCAAUGGCGAAGGCAGCUCGCUGGGACGGUACUGACGCUGAGACGCGAAAGCGUGGGGAGCAAACAGG
rnacentral:rRNA from 1 species